GUUUGUAUAGGGCGGAUUCACACCAAUGGGCACAGUCAGAUCAGGUCACGGCCAGAGACAGUCAAGUCAAGAUCGCUGCCUCGGGAUCUCAAUGAGAGUGUGCUCACUGGCGGGAAUGGUACGCGCACAGUCAGAUUAAGACCGGUGUGCUGCCCGCUGUGAGUGUGAACUACCGCAGCCACAGUCAACCACCUGUCUUCAAACUCUUUAUUACAAUGGAUGAUGAGAGACUCAUUGAAUUGGUCCGAAGGCAGUAAGUUCUAUACGAACUUUCCAGCCCUCACUACAGUUAUGCAUCCCACAAAAUGCAGAAAUGGCAGGAGGUAGGUCAUGCACUAAAACAAGCUUUCAGCCGUGACUUGGCAGCUGCAGAACUGAUCUAAUUAUUAAUGCUUCUUUUACGUGAUGAAGAGAUAUCGAAUUGAGGCAAGGAAUCAACAAAUACCUUUUGGUUAUUGAUAUCGAAAAAUUUAGAAGCAAACAAUCAGCGACCUGAUAGAUUUUGGAGAAUUGUUACAGUUCCAAAGAAAUAUCAUAGGUCAACACUGAACAGAGGAAAAAUAAAUAAGCUUUCCCCAUAAUUAA